CACAGGAAAAAGCCAUGUAGAGACAGAGUGCAAUGUCAACUACCCUCCAGCUAUUCCAGUUUUCUCAGCCCUGGUGCUAGUCAUUUAAGCCAUGACCUGACGAUACAUGCAACAGUUUGCCUAUCAGACAGCUCUGCCAGCCUACAAGUUCCAGAAAGGCAAGCACAGCAUGUUAUCCACAUCUUCAGCAACGCAAAGGCUGAGGCUCACGAAGACUACCUGACUUUGAUCCCCAGCCCACAAACCACAGUGCAGCCCAGGAACAGAGGCUGAGGCAGUACAUUCUCACAAAGACUUCACUGCAGGGGCAAAGCCAAGGCA